ACAGCCAUGAGAGAUUAGAAGUUGUGCUUGCACAUCUUCUUCUUUGGUGUAAAAGAAAAACAUUGUCAGGAGUGGGUGUCUAACUCUUUUUGUCUUUGACUGACCUUCUGUCUGCACCUAACCAGCCCUGAGAGCAGGGAGCUGCUUCUGUUUUAAUUGGAGUGUGACUGGAAAUAUACAGGGAGCUAUGGGGGAGGGAAGCUGUAGGAGGGUGAUGCUUGUCCGUCAAUACCCCCCACACAUACACACACAGACACACACUCCCUGCUGUGGACCCCUGUGUCUGCUGCCCAGCCUGUCAACCUGAGAGACGGGAAGGAGGGAGAGGGGACUGGAGUGCUGAAUAUGCUGAUGUAUCCUGUGUGAACCUGAGAGCCUUGCAUGGGAGCUGACCUUCCUCCUUACAUCUCUCCAGGAACGUUUUGAUCAGGACUAGAUGAAUAAAUACUUGACCUGGAGACAUUUGUCCCCCCAUGGUUUCACUGACACGACAACACCGUUUUGGGGGGAGUUUCAAGGGGGAAACGCCUCUAAGCAGUGUGUCCAGCAAAACAGUACAAAUGGGG
rnacentral:lncRNA from 1 species